rfam:Ophiophagus hannah scaffold270.1, whole genome shotgun sequence.
UAUACUGCCUUUCUAAAGGCAACAAAAGAUACUACAAAAAGAGAAUU